AGGGAUGUCCAAGCAUGAUGGGACAGAUACUUCAAAAGCCCCAAGUGAUCAACAACUGUCAGCCGAGUUCUUGCUCCAGACAAUUACUUAACUUCAUGUUACACACCUACCAUUGUUGAGGAAGCUGCUGCAUCAAAGUCAGGAGCAUCAUGAGAAUUAAUGUGGAGUGUUCAAAUUGGCAAAAGUUGGGGAUUCAAUAAGGAAAAACAGCCUGGAAGCACCCAGCUUUUCUCCUCAAGUCUUUCUAUGGGAGAGACUUUUUUGAUGUAGCCGAGUCAUUGCAGAGAGAAGAAAGAGAUGGUUGGUGGAAACGCCCUCGAAAGGUAAUAAAAGAUGAAUUCCUUCUUUAUGGUGAGAUUCCGGCACUUC